rnacentral:rRNA from 1 species
AUGGCGCCGGAGUUUGGGUGGUGGCCGAUGUCGCCGUGGCUGAGCCCGGGCGCGGCGUCGUUCAUCUUCUUCAACGUCCUCGUUGGCGCCAUCGCGGUCAUGUCGUCGUCCCGGGGGCCGGAACCGGCCGCCCGGCGCAAGCUCGUUCGCACGGCCUCGACCGUCGUGCUGGAGAGCCUGCGUUCGAUCUCCAACUUCCCCUUCCACUCGCUGGGCGACUACGCCGUCGCCGCGUACUCUGCACCGGCGUCGUCGCAGCUCCACCACGUGCAAGCCCAGUACUAUAGUACUACGAUCCAAGAGCAAGAAGCACGUGGGGUCGACAGGGUGGAGCCCGAGCCGGCAUCAGUCGCCCAAGAAGAAGCUGUAGUGGCGGCCACAACAGCCACCUCGCCGCAGAGCGCGCCUGUCGCGGCACCGGCGGCACAGGAUGUGAAAAGGAUGGUGGAGCCCGAGCCAGCACCAGUCGCCCAAGAAGAAACCGUAGCGGCGGCCACAACAACCACCUCGCCGCAGAGCGCGGCACCGGCAGCACUCGACGCGUCCGCGGCGGCGACUCAGGGCGAGGUCGAAGACGGGGAGUCCAUCAGCUUGGACGAGGCAUACGCGCUGGCGCGCGCAGGGCGGCAGUCCGCCGCCGACACGGUGGCCACGGUGCCAAAGAAGGCCAAGGGGCGAGGAGCCUACGGAUGCGGGCGGGGAACGGAGGACGUCGAAGGGAAGGCGGAGGUGGACGCGCGGGCGGAGCAGUUCAUCCGGCAGUUCCGGGAGGAGCUCAAGCUGGAGCGCAUCAACUCCAUCCUCAACCACACCCACGCGCUGCGCCGCACCGCAGGGGCACGCUAG